rnacentral:rRNA from 2 species
GGGUGACGAGUGGCGGACGGGUGAGUAAUGUCUGGGAAACUGCCUGAUGGAGGGGGAUAACUACUGGAAACGGUAGCUAAUACCGCAUAACGUCUUCGGACCAAAGUGGGGGACCUUCGGUACCGCAUAACGUCUUCGGACCAAAGUGGGGGACCUUCGGGCCUCACACCAUCGGAUGUGCCCAGAUGGGAUUAGCUAGUAGGUGGGGUAAUGGCUCACCUAGGCGACGAUCCCUAGCUGGUCUGAGAGGAUGACCAGCCACACUGGAACUGAGACACGGUCCAGACUCCUACGGGAGGCAGCAGUGGGGAAUAUUGCACAAUGGGCGCAAGCCUGAUGCAGCCAUGCCGCGUGUAUGAAGAAGGCCUUCGGGUUGUAAAGUACUUUCAGCGGGGAGGAAGGCGAUAAGGUUAAUAACCUUGUCGAUUGACGUUACCCGCAGAAGAAGCACCGGCUAACUCCGUGCCAGCAGCCGCGGUAAUACGGAGGGUGCAAGCGUUAAUCGGAAUUACUGGGCGUAAAGCGCACGCAGGCGGUCUGUCAAGUCAGAUGUGAAAUCCCCGGGCUUAACCUGGGAACUGCAUUUGAAACUGGCAGGCUAGAGUCUUGUAGAGGGGGGUAGAAUUCCAGGUGUAGCGGUGAAAUGCGUAGAGAUCUGGAGGAAUACCGGUGGCGAAGGCGGCCCCCUGGACAAAGA